UACGAAGGGAGCUAGCGUUGUUCGGAAUCACUGGGCGUAAAGCGCACGUAGGCGGAUUCCUAAGUCGGUGGUGAAAUCCUGGAGCUCAACUCCAGAACUGCCUCCGAUACUGAGAGUCUUCGAGUCCGGGAGAGGUGAGUGGAACUGCGAGUGUAGAGGUGAAAUUCGUAGAUAUUGGGGAAGAACACCGAUGGCGAAGGCGAGCCUCUGG
rnacentral:rRNA from 1 species